AUGAAAACCCCAGUAAAAAGGCAAGGACCAACACCGGAGAGGGGACGGCCCAAGAGAAGGCUCACUGACCUCUCCCCAAGGGAUGAAGAAGCUGAUGAUGAAGAUGCUGAUCGCAGUUCUUCCAGUGGUGCAUCUACUCUGUUAUCACCUGUCAGAAAUUCUGACGAUGCCUCCACUUCAUCUGACAAGGAUAGUCGGCAAAUACAAGCAAGACAUUACAAAACAUUACAAGAAAUGUGCAAGAAGGCAAAACCAAACCAAGAAGAUGUGUCCCAGCUAUUAGACCUCGAGUUUGAAGCCAGAAGAUCCUUCAUUGACUCAGACACCAUGAAAGAGGAGAACAGAGCUCGCCUCAUCUUGGAUGCAUAUCCAUGCUUUAAAGAAUUGCAUCAUGCAUUGGGUGAGCUUCGCAGAAUUUUGGAUCCCCACAACAAGUUCAUCAGUCAAAUAAAACUGAGAUGGGAAGAAUUCUGCUCCAGGGUAGAGUUCUACGGUGUGUCAAAGAAGGCAAUGAAUCCACCAAUGACCAUGGACAAAACUGAAGCCCACCUUGCACUGAUGAAGGCUCUUCCAACGCUCUUUCCCACACCUGCCCAUCCACCAAAAAAGAUGGGGAAUGCUUCUGAAGCAUUUCUACAUGUCCUGAAGCCUACAGAAGAUCCAGAUGCUGUCCUCCAGAAACGAAGCUUGUCAUGUCCAGUAGUGAUGUUCGAUGGCUGCAAGUGUGUCAUUGCUGUUGGUAAUUUACCAGUUACAACAUUUGACAAAGAAAAACUUGGUGAGGCUAUGAUAUAUGUGAUGGCAUACUUUUAUGCACUCUAUCUGACUUACCCCAAAUGCGUGGCAACCCUGCUGUCUGUCAUUCAGACAGAAGUUCUCCAGGAUGCCAUUCAUGAGCAUGACACUACAUCAUCUUACAGAAAAGCCCUGGCAGAAUGGCAUGCAUUUAUUGGAAAGUAGUGUGUAAAUUUCAGAUAAGAUUAUGAGAGGGCACUUUGGUUUUGUUUUUUGUUUUUUCAAUCUGGGUCUUAUUUCUAAAAUGGAAAAUGUUCAUUUACUCACCCAGACAAGAUCUGUGGUAUUUGGUGUCAUUCGAAAGAAAUUUGAAUCUUUGUGGUCUUCCUAUGUCACUCGUCAAUUUUAAUGGGGAAAUGGCGAAACCUCUAAGGCUGUUGAAAUGUUGAAACCACUUAAACAAACUCAUAAUGUUGGACCUGUACUGUUCAAUUGUAUCUUUAUUUUCUGCAGGUUAUUGUUAAAGUGGACAAAUAAAGAUGGACACUUUUGCUCUGUUUCAGUUUUGUUUUGUCCUUAAUCAGCAAUAUAAUCUUAAAGUAGUGUUUAGCUAAAUUUAAAAAGCAGAAAUAUCUUUAAAAUGAUUUAAUGUACUAGUUUUUAGAUUAUUUGCCUUGAUUUGUUCGUUAGAAUAAGUGUUUUAUGCCUAUUUUCAGAUUUAAUUUCUUCAACAUUUUACUUAUAACAAGUGGUUAAAGCUUAUUUUUAGGUUUCAAGCCAUGAUUGGUUGCCUGGAAUAAGUGUAAAAGACUUAUUUUUUAGCUUUAUUAUCUUAUUUGUGGCUUACAAUAAGUGGUUAAAGCUUAUUUUAAGUUUCAAUGUUCUGAUUUGUUGCCUGGAAUGAGUGUAAAAGACUUAUUUUUUAGCUUUAUUUAAAUCUAGAUAUUGUUCUUAUUUCAAGAAAUCUUGUUAAGAAAAAAACACUUACCCCAUGGGCAGAUAAUUUCACUUGUUUUAAGCAAAUCUUCACCAAAAAUAAGUGUAUUUUUCUAGUAUUAAGGAGGUGGGUUUUUGCAGUGUAACUAACUGAUGUAUGCACAUACUCGAAACAAUGACUCUCCUGCUAUGAAAAAAAAAAAGAGCUAACUCCUUACAGAUGAAGGAGCUCACCAACUGAAGGGGAGAAACACAGAUCACCAGUGAAAGACGGCAGGCCAUGAGUCUGUGGAGAAGAGCAACACUGGCACUGCGAAGGCCUACGUCACUAAUGAGGCCUGUACAAAGGUGGAGAGGAGGAGUCAGCUGUAUGAUGACAUCCAAUGGCUGGCACAUGUGAAAACCCAGGAACUCUAGAGAGGAGUGUCCAAGUGAAGAUCCACAAUUCAUGAAACCGAGUCUCCUCAAGUCCAAUGAAAGACUGUAUCUGCAGAGGGCUGGAAAAGUGUAUUAAAACACACUUUUAGUCAGCUGACAUACUCAUCAAUCUGCUGAGGACUGACAAUCGGUGGCCUCUAAGAGCCAACAUCGUCUGCAUCUGGGAUGUUCUCUGUGUGGAUGUUCCUGGAGAACUCCAAGAGGAAUGUGGGCAGUACCAUACCAACAAGGAAUUUACUGCCAAGAGAAAUCUUCAGUAUAUGGACUGUGACUGAUACCAGAGUACCUAACUAUCCAUGAUAUCUGCAGUGAACAACAUGAGGCAGCUGCAUCAGUAAUGCUCCCAGCAAACUAAUAAGUUUAAAGCCCUGGGCUCCACUCCUUGUGUUACUCUCCCAGUAGAAAAAGAACACAAAUAAUAAGAACUAGGCCACAUGAAAGCAUUAGAUAGGAGAUUAUUAAAAAUAUAUUCAUUACUAACACUCUUACAUUAGAAUAUUAUUGAAAAGUUUAAUACAUAAAGGGUGCAGACAUGACUCUCAUUGACACUAGAACAGAUACACACAGAGCAUUAGAACCCCAGUAGGGCAUGGGACAGAUAAGUAAACUUAGAGAAGUUAUUAAUCCAGGAUGAGCAUUGCAUUAUUGAAGGGAGGAAACUUACACAUGGGGAUUUACUAAAAGUUGGGGUACUGAUGAAACUCGGGAUCCCUGGUAACACGAAAUGAGAUAUUUAAACAUCUGCUGUUUCUGACCCUGGUACACUGCUCUUGGGUAUCCUCCUGACAUGUAUGUAACUGUGUGGGUGCAAAUGUGUACACAUGUGUAAAUCUGUAUGCAGAUAUGACAAAUAAUCUGUCUUUAAUCUUUUUCAGUGCGGCUACAUAUAGACCAGUGGCAGCUACCUCUGUUCAUGUAAGAUGCUAGCUCUAAAUGUGCAGCACUAAACCAUCCAUAGUGCUAUAAUUCAGUGUGUGAGCAAUUUGUAGUUCAUUUCAAAAGGAAGGAAAAAGAAGAAUGAAGGAGGAAGCAGCGAAGGAUUCGGUCAUAAUCUUAACUGCAUUGGCAAAGGGGGGGAAACAUAUAGCUUAGCAGAGAUAUUGUUAACUCUCCCAAAGAAUGAACCCAAAAAAACAAUUUAGGAGAAAAUCUAAAUUAUCAGAUAUUUUGGAGGGAAAGAGGCUAAAGCCUGAUCCCCUAUAAAAUGAGCAAACCUCAAAUUAGAAAAAUGGGGCAUAAAUUGUCUUUCCUGUGUGUGGCAGGGUCCAGUUUUCUGUGGAUUGACAUAUUUAAAUUACUCAAAUGCAUUCUCUAGCAAAAACUGCAGAACUAAAUGACUCUAUUUUAGUUCUAUUCUAGUUACAGUGUGCAAAGGUAGAGUUUGAAGCACUGAGGAGGGACAUGCAGUCUGACCCGGCACUUGGCAACCAAAAGGAAAGAGAAGGACUUUUCAUUGGUAUGGGGCAAACUGAAAAGAUU
rnacentral:lncRNA from 1 species